AAAAUUAUGAUUUGCAAAUACCCAAAGUUCAUCUGUUUCCACAAUUUUCAACAGACCACUCCAAACAAGGUACUCCAAUCCACCUCUUCUAAAUGAAAUAUUGUAUCAUGCUGAAUAUUAAGCAAGUGGCAAAUUGAAGAAGUUACCUCUAAUUUGCUGCGACACAAAGUGAAUCCAUGUCGAAUGCGAAGCUGCACAAUCUCUGAUCACAUGCAAGGUCGUCUCUCGGAAACAUUCGCAAAUUAAG
rnacentral:lncRNA from 1 species